CCAGACUCCUACGGGAGGCAGCAGUAGGGAAUUUUGCGCAAUGGGGGAAACCCUGACGCAGCAACACCACGUGAAUGUUAAGCCCUUCGGGGUGUCAAGUUCUGUCAAUAGGGACGAAUUUUGACUGUACCUAUAAAGGAAGCACCGGCUAACUCCGUGCCAGCAGCCGCGGUAAUACGGGGGGUGCAAGCGUUGUCCGGAAUCAUUGGGCGUAAAGCGUUCGUAGGCGGUAAAGUAAGUCAGAUGUUAAAGCCCGGGGCUCAACUCCGGUUCGGCAUUUGAUACUACUUGACUAGAAUGCGGUAGAGGUAAAGGGAAUUCCUGGUGUAGCGGUGAAAUGCGUAGAUAUUAGGAGGAACACCAGUGGCGAAGGCGACUUUCUGGACUGUACCUGACGCUGAGGCGCGAAAGCGUGGGUAGCGAACGGGAUUAGAUACCCCUGUA
rnacentral:rRNA from 1 species